CGAUAGCAAACAAGUACCGUGAGGGAAAGUUGCAAAGUACUUUGAAGAGAGAGUUCAAGAGGACGUGAAACCGAUAGGAUGGAAGCAGAUGAAGUUGACGAACGUGUGUCGUAUUCAAAAUCGCUGUCAGCGGUUUGUUUUUACGGCCGAUGUGGGCCGGCGGCUUUGGUCAAUGCAAUGCGUCUAGCGUCGAUGGUGACCCUGCGGAGGGACAAUCAGUCGGCGUACGGUGCUUGGUAUGGCUAAGGUUUCGCCGGUCUUAAAGUCAGCGCCUCAUCUGACCCGUCUUGAAACACGGACCAAGGAGUGUAGCGUUUGCGCAAGUCUUAGAGUGUAUCGAAACUUUGAGGCGUAACGAAAGUAAAUGCAGUUUAAUCUGCUGACUUGGGAUGCGUUGUCUCUUGUGGACGGCGCUGGACCAAGGUUUUAUCGCGAUCGCUUGCGGUGCGGUGAAAAUAGAGCGUAAACGGUGCGACCCGAAAGAUGGUGAACUAUGCCUGAGCAGGAUGAAGCCGGAGGAAACUCUGGUGGAAGUCCGAAGCGGUUCUG
rnacentral:rRNA from 1 species